rnacentral:rRNA from 1 species
UACGGAGGGUGCAAACGUUGCUCGGAAUCAUUGGGCGUAAAGCGCGUGUAGGCGGUCGGGUAAGUCAGAUGUGAAAGCCCAUGGCUUAACCAUGGAAGUGCAUCUGAUACUGCUUGACUUGAGUACCGGAGAGGAUAGUGGAAUUCCCGGUGUAGAGGUGAAAUUCGUAGAUAUCGGGAGGAACACCAGUGGCGAAGGCGGCUAUCUGGACGGAUACUGACGCUAAGACGCGAAAGCGUGGGUAGCAAACAGG